AGUUUGAUCCUGGCUCAGGAUGAACGCUGGCGGCGCGCCUAACACAUGCAAGUCGAACGGUUAAGGCGCCCUUCGGGGCGCGAAUAGAGUGGCGAACGGCUGAGUAACACGUGGAGAACCUGCCCCCUCCCCCGGGAUAGCCGCCCGAAAGGACGGGUAAUACCGGAUACCCCGGGGUGCCGCAUGGCACCCCGGCUAAAGCCCCGACGGCGAGAGGAUGCUCCGCGCCCUUCAGGUAGCGGGGGGGUGUACCGCCCCACCGUGGCAAACAAGGGGUACCCGGGUUGAAGAACCGACCGCCCAGUUUGGGAUUGAACCCCGGCCCCAGCUUCCUAGGGGAAGCCACCAGUGGGGAUUCUUGCGCAAUGGGGGGAACCCUUGACGCAAGGAACCCCGCGUGCGGGACGGAGGCCUUUGGGGUCGUAAACCGUUUUCAGCAGGGAAGAGUCAAGACUGUACCUGCAGAAGAAGCCCCGGCUAACUACGUGCCAGCAGCCGCGGUAAUACGUAGGGGGCGAGCGUUAUCCGGAUUCAUUGGGCGUAAAGCGCGCGUAGGCGGCCCGGCAGGCCGGGGGUCGAAGCGGGGGGCUCAACCCCCCGAAGCCCCCGGAACCUCCGCGGCUUGGGUCCGGUAGGGGAGGGUGGAACACCCGGUGUAGCGGUGGAAUGCGCAGAUAUCGGGUGGAACACCGGUGGCGAAGGCGGCCCUCUGGGCCGAGACCGACGCUGAGGCGCGAAAGCUGGGGGAGCGAACAGGAUUAGAUACCCUGGUAGUCCCAGCCGUAAACGAUGGACGCUAGGUGUGGGGGGACGAUCCCCCCGUGCCGCAGCCAACGCAUUAAGCGUCCCGCCUGGGGAGUACGGCCGCAAGGCUAAAACUCAAAGGAAUUGACGGGGGCCCGCACAAGCAGCGGAGCAUGUGGCUUAAUUCGAAGCAACGCGAAGAACCUUACCAGGGCUUGACAUAUGGGUGAAGCGGGGGAGACCCCGUGGCCGAGAGGAGCCCAUACAGGUGGUGCAUGGCUGUCGUCAGCUCGUGUCGUGAGAUGUUGGGUUAAGUCCCGCAACGAGCGCAACCCCCGCCGCGUGUUGCCAUCGGGUGAUGCCGGGAACCCACGCGGGACCGCCGCCGUCAAGGCGGAGGAGGGCGGGGACGACGUCAAGUCAUCAUGCCCCUUAUGCCCUGGGCUGCACACGUGCUACAAUGGCCGGUACAGAGGGAUGCCACCCCGCGAGGGGGAGCGGAUCCCGGAAAGCCGGCCCCAGUUCGGAUUGGGGGCUGCAACCCGCCCCCAUGAAGUCGGAGUUGCUAGUAAUCGCGGAUCAGCAUGCCGCGGUGAAUGCGUUCCCGGGCCUUGCACACACCACCCGUC
rnacentral:rRNA from 1 species